rnacentral:lncRNA from 1 species
CCAAACUCCUCGUCUGACUUAAGCAUUGGAGAGGCGAUGAGAACACACCUCGUUACUUUUGUUUCAGUAUCAAAAGAUCAUUCGUGUACCCCUGGCUCGAAAUUCAAGCUUUCAAUUUGAGGUCUAUUAGGUACAAUUUUUUGUAACAUCACCAACCAUAAUAUAAUCAAAACAUUUUUACUGUUAGCACAUAUUCGUAAGUCACCAGAAAGCAAACGGGAAAAUCAUGGGACAAAAAAAAAUAGAAAUAUUUGAUCAAGUGGAAAGGUGGUCGAUGACACUAUACUUGAUAGAGAAAUAGCCGAGGAGGACAGGUCUGCAAGGUUGCAACAAAACAGAGCCCGAGAAAGAGAAUUUAUGGAUGUUGGCUAAAAAAUAUGGUCUCAUGAAAAAUGUCCCAAAUAGCAUAGGAAAUGCCAGAGGAGAGAUCUGUGGGCAACUCAUGACGGCACAAUAUCGACAGUCAAAUUGGAUGUGAAUGGGUGGGAAUUGAGAAAGAAAGAAAAGGGAGUACAGACUUAGGAAAAAAACAAAUAAAGCAAAUUGUAUUGGAAAAUUCCCCAAGUACAAGGAUUCUUUCACAGAAUCCCUACAGAGCACCA